rnacentral:tRNA from 1 species
UAGUACUGCGCCGGAUGAACGGAAAUCAUUGAUGUUGAUUAAUAUGUGACAAGAUAGUCUCUGGUACUAU